rnacentral:rRNA from 1 species
UACGGAGGGGGCUAGCGUUGUUCGGAAUUACUGGGCGUAAAGCGCACGUAGGCGGCUGUUUAAGUCAGAGGUGAAAGCCCAGGGCUCAACCUUGGAACUGCCUUUGAGACUGGACAGCUUGAAUCACGGAGAGGUGGGUGGAAUUCCGAGUGUAGAGGUGAAAUUCGUAGAUAUUCGGAAGAACACCAGUGGCGAAGGCGGCCCACUGGACGUGUAUUGACGCUGAGGUGCGAAAGCGUGGGGAGCAAACAGG